UUUUGGACAAUGGGGGCAACCCUGAUCCAGCAAUGCCGCGUGCAGGAAGAAGGCCUUCGGGUUGUAAACUGCUUUUGUCAGGGAAGGAAUCCUGUGGGUUAAUACCUCGUGGGGAUGACGGUACCUGAAGAAUAAGCACCGGCUAACUACGUGCCAGCAGCCGCGGUAAUACGUAGGGUGCGAGCGUUAAUCGGAAUUACUGGGCGUAAAGCGUGCGCAGGCGGUUUUGUAAGACAGAGGUGAAAUCCCCGGGCUCAACCUGGGAACUGCAUUCAAUACUGCCUGACUAGAGUAUGGUAGAGGGAAGCGGAAUUCCACAUGUAGCGGUGAAAUGCGUAGAUAUGUGGAGGAACAUCAAUGGCGAAGGCAGCUUCCUGGACUAAUACUGACACUGAGUGCGAAA
rnacentral:rRNA from 1 species